CAUAUCAAUAAGCGGAGGAAAAGAAACCAACAGGGAUUCCCCUAGUAACGGCGAGUGAAGCGGGAACAGCUCAAAUUUGAAAUCUGGCCCUUGGGUCCGAGUUGUAAUUUGCAGAGGAUGCUUUUGGUGCGGUGCCUUCCGAGUUCCCUGGAACGGGACGCCUUAGAGGGUGAGAGCCCCGUACGGUUGGCCACCAAGCCUGUGUAAAGCUCCUUCGACGAGUCGAGUAGUUUGGGAAUGCUGCUCAAAAUGGGAGGUAUAUUUCUUCUAAAGCUAAAUACUGGCCAGAGACCGAUAGCGCACAAGUAGAGUGAUCGAAAGAUGAAAAGCACUUUGAAAAGAGGGUUAAAUAGCACGUGAAAUUGUUGAAAGGGAAGGAUUUAUGACCAGACUUUUUCUAGGGGGAUCAUCCGGUGUUCUCACCGGUGCACUUCCCCUAGUUGAGGCCAGCAUCGGUUUCUGUCGGGGGAUAAAAGCUUCAGGAAUGUGGCUCCUUCGGGAGUGUUAUAGCCUGUUGCAUAAUACCCUGACGGGGACCGAGGUUCGCGCAUUGCAAGGAUGCUGGCGUAAUGGUUAUUAAUCACCCGUCUUGAAACACGGACCAAGGAGUCGAACAUUUGUGCGAGUGUUUGGGUGUUAAACCCUCACGCGUAAUGAAAGUGAACGGAGGUGAGAGCCCUUCGGGGUGCAUCAUCGACCGAUCCUGAUGUCUUCGGAUGGAUUUGAGUAAGAGCAUAACUGUUCGGACCCGAAAGAUGGUGAACUAUGCGUGGAUAGGGUGAAGCCAGAGGAAACUCUGGUGGAGGCUCGCAGCGGUUCUGACGUGCAAAUCGAUCGUCAAAUCUGCGCAUGGG
rnacentral:rRNA from 1 species